AGAGGCAGUAGCUGGUAUGGUUCAUAGCUCAAUAAAUGUGGCAAGUAGCCUGAGGGAAACUAUUCUUUUUGCAGCUCUGAAGACAAGUUUGGGGAGGCUUGCCUGAUCUGGAAUCGAUGAGGUUUGACUACUUCGGUUCAUCUUGCUUCAGUUUAUUCUUGAAGAUGACAGUGUCUUCCAUUAGAGAAGGCUGUGGUAAACAAUCCACAACUUCAAGUUCCUCUUCUCUCCCUUGGAGUACAUCGUCCCACAUCAGUGAAAGCAGAAGAAUAGCUUCCAGGAGACUCCUGGUCUACUGAAAACAGAAAGUAUAUUAAACUAUGUUUGUUUUUUAGGAGCUGCACUUUUUUUCCUGCGGAAAGGCACGGGA